GCAUCUCUGCGGGGACGGAGUGCCAGGAGUCCCCGGUAGUGGAUUGCACCUCCUCCGCUUGGGAGACUGGGGACUGAGGAGGGCCUCAAACUCCAUCGACCGCUUUAACGUCGCUCCGCAGGCCAUGUUAGCUGAACACAACGCUUCCUGUCGCCCAACCCCAUCGUGACCAGUGACCGCCUUCCGGUGAACUCGAAUUGAAGGUUCACGAGACGUCUGGUGGUGGUGGUGCUCCGGUACAUCAGGAGGAUUCAAAAACACAAUGUGAAUCCAGUGGUAUUUAUUAGACUUCGAUCUCCUCCGGUAGACAGCAACAUUUUGAAGUUAUUUUUCCUCUAUCAACAACAAACAGCCCCCUAUAUGUUCUAUACACAGGACAAUGUCCCUGCAUAACAAUGACCUGGAAUAAAGGCCCUUCGCAGGAAUGUGUUGUUCAAGAGCUUCACUUACUUAACGUAAAUCCACCAAACUCACUAUUUAUUAAAGUUUAGAGAUAGAUUUGGCGCAGUGUCUAAUCAAUUCAAAAUAAGUCACUUCCUGAGAGUACCAAAAGGUUUUAAAUGAGGAGUAUGAUUUGAGAGGUGCAAAAAAAAAGAGAGGACAAAAAUAACAUUUGCAGGAUAGGUGAAUUCAUAAAAACUAUAGUGAGUAACUGAGAACAUGUAGCACACUUACAUUUAAAUAUUUAAAUGUGUUAAAAUAGUAUAUAUAGAAUGUCUGAUCAGAAAGACACAAUGGCGUCUAUACAAUAGGGUACAUAUACUGUAGCCUAAUCCGAUCAAGGUGUAGCUACAGCCUGCAGAAAUCAAAUAUUAUGUUUUAUUGUAAUGUAUCAUUUUCUCAACUGUUGUUUUUCUGUAAUUGCCUUUUUCCUUUUCGAUAGUGUCUUACCUUUAUCAUUGAUGUUAUUGAUUGUAAACUGAGAUAAAUUUCAGAUUUCAAAGGUACGGUACCCACACUAAUAGGGAAUUGUUUUGUAUGCGCUGCACAAAACAUUUGUAUUGUAUAAAGAGAUAGUUUACUUUCUGAUCUCAUCUUGCUAUGAUUGAUCAGUUGCAUGUCCCAUGCUAUUCCCAUUGUAUCACAUGCAUCAAUGACCAGUCACACAUUGGCUAGAGUCUAUUGUUUUCAAGUAACCCCCCUGAAAGUGCCAUUGUCAGCCAUUAAUCUACGUUUCAUGUGCAAGAAUUGUUCUUCAAAUAAACAGAAAAUAGAAAAUUAA